rnacentral:rRNA from 1 species
GUGCAGCAGGCGAGAAUCCUCCGCAAUGCGCGAAAGCGCGACGGGGCCACCCCGAGUGCCGCCCGCUGAGGGUGGCUUUCCCCGGUGUAGACAGCCGGGGGAAUAAGGGGAGGGCAAGUCUGGUGUCAGCCGCCGCGGUAAUACCAGCUCCCCGAGUGGUGGGGACGAUUAUUGGGCCUAAAGCGUCCGUAGCCGGCCCAGCAAGUCUCCCGUUAAAUCCAGCGAUCUAAUCGCUGGACUGCGGGAGAUACUGCUGGGCUAGGGGCGGGAGAGGCCGGCGGGUAGUUUCCGGGGUAGGGGUGGAAAUCCUAUAAUCCCGGGAGGACCGACCAGUGGCGAAGGCUGCCGGCUGGAACGCGCCCGACGGUGAGGGAUGAAAGCC